AGCGAACGCUGGCGGCAGGCUUAACACAUGCAAGUCGAGCGCCCCGCAAGGGGAGCGGCAGACGGGUGAGUAACGCGUGGGAAUCUACCCAUCUCUACGGAGUAACGCAUGGAAACGUGUGCUAAUACCGUAUACGUCCUUCGGGAGAAAGAUUUAUCGGAGAUGGAUGAGCCCGCGUUGGAUUAGCUAGUUGGUGGGGUAAAGGCCUACCAAGGCGACGAUCCAUAGCUGGUCUGAGAGGAUGAUCAGCCACACUGGGACUGAGACACGGCCCAGACUCCUACGGGAGGCAGCAGUGGGGAAUAUUGGACAAUGGGCGCAAGCCUGAUCAGCCAUGCCGCGUGAGUGAUGAAGGCCCUAGGGUUGUAAAGCUCUUUCACCGGUGAAGAUAAUGACGGUAACCGGAGAAGAAGCCCCGGCUAACUUCGUGCCAGCAGCCGCCGUAACAC
rnacentral:rRNA from 1 species